AAGACUAAAAUUAUUAACAGUUCUUCUCGGUCUUCUGAACAUUCCAGCCAAUCUAUCAUUCAUGUAGUUGCACUGCGCGAAAAAUGCGCUGCGGACUUCUAUUGACUACAACUUGGUUCCAAUCUAACACUGAACUGAGUACAUCUGAUGGCAAAUUUCUGAAUUGACUACAGAGAUUGUACUAUAGUAAUCCAAUUUUGGUCAAUUUUAAUACUAUAAUAUUAUAUUUUAAGAGACUGAAGUUAGUAACGUUAACGUAACGGAACCCCGGAAAGAAAAAUUAUCAUUGAAGAAUUUUAGAAUCACUUUCCAGAAUUUGGAGAUUCCAAAUAUGAGUAUAUUUUGUUUAUCAUGGUUGACUAAAUUUCGGACAAUCCUAAAGCUGCGAAGUAAGUAACGUUACUAACUUCAACCUCAUUGUACCUUGUGGUGUAGAUUAGGUUUUUGUAGAAUUUUUGGUUUUCAACAAACGUGUGAAGAGAACUGGCAAAAAUUUUGGCGAAAACCCACCGCAGGCGUCUAGUCAAAAUCCGAACGUCUCGUUGGCCUAGAUUUUAUACAUGCACGCCUGGCUUUGCUAACGGAGAAUGUGACCGGAUGAAUCGACGUCGACGAGAGAGGACCCUCUCUAGCUCUCUGCGCCUGUGUUUAAAUAGUUAAUUCGAUACGUGGACGAUUGAAUGGAGACGGAAGAACGAUCGAUGCUGUAAAAAUGUCGAUUUAUGCCAUGUGAAGAAUAAUUAAUACGUUAAGUUGGAUGCGACGUGACGAGGAACUCGGUGAAGGAUGAAUCCGUGGGUGGGAAAGAAGAAGAGUAAUUACAAAACACGAGGUGUUACAGAUGGCGUCACUUGCGCACAUGUUGCGAAACUAACCAGUGAGUUUGAAGCGGAAGUCGUUUAUACAUCACAGGUAUAUAGUAGUGGAAAGAUGGCGGGGACGAAAAGAUACGAAAGGAGGAAAGAAGAUACGCGGUGGGAAAUCUGAGAACGUUGAUGGGUUAAAUGCAUCACCAUUUGUGGUCACUGUGCUAUUACUGACCCCUUUAUAAAAUCCCGCAUUUCACAAUGUCAUUUUUUUACAUCUCUUUAAUACACACAAAUUAUGACUAAAAUUCGUUGUUUAAACAUCAGCGUUAAAGUGGACGAAAGCAUCUUUAUGUCACUUUGGUACAUAACCUCCCAUUACACGUAAUGAACAUGUCCGGAACUGAUACCAAGAUCACCAAAACCGGUACAUCUACUCUCACUAAACGUGCAUAUAUGAAAAAACUUACAUCGACGUCAGUGUGAAUCAGUUAUAGUCUUAAUCGAUCUCUAAUCGCUGGGAAUCGCAGCAACAAGUCCCAGAAACUUGUGCGAAAUCUGUGGACGCGGAGUGAAUUAUCGGAAGUGAUCGAAGAGUCAUUGCGGGGAGAAGGAUCUACAGCUGUGUAGAGAACCGGAUAAUUUAUAGGCUUGUAAAAAGUCUGGUUCUCUUUCGGUGACUUGACCUGCGUGUCGGUGACACUGCUGCGCUCGGAUAUCGCGAUUGUAGGUAAGUAUUGAUCGUGAUCGCGGACAGCCGAGGGUCGGGAUUCGGUCCCCUGUGUAAUGCGAGCGAGGUGUCGUUUACUAGCGUGAAACUUGCUCGCCGUUCAACCCUGGGACGUGAUAUGUGAUGGAGCAUGCCGGUCUGAGAACAGCUCGGCAACUCGCCGUGCAAUUUAUCUUGCGCACACGUUCGUGAUAAUUAUUCUUAUAUUCGGUCUGCGAUACGGUGACGCUUUUUCCCACGCUCUCACAGAUAAUCUCUGCACUGUUUCUUCUAGGCUCGGAAAUAACCACCAAGUUUGAAUAUAUUCGGAGGGAAAGAGCACUCCACGAGAACGAUGAACUCAUGGUGAUUAUAUGGGAACGUAAUUCCGUGAAUCCGGUUGGUUAGCACAUUUUAAUGUUUUCAUCGAAGUAUCCUGUCUUCUUUACAAAAUUUCAUCUGUUAGUGCGAUACGAUGUGCGUAUUUUUAUAAUCCCAAUUUUCGAAACUGGCUAAACAUAAUAAACCUGAAUUUUUUUGUGGUUGUAACGUUGAUCUGCAUAAAUUAUUCUUGUGGAAAAAUAUGUCACACUGAGAAAUCCUGGAAUGUCUGUGACUCUGGAGAGACUCUGGUUUAUCUUUAGAUUCUCAUUCCGUCUUGAGAGCUAAGCAGAAACC
rnacentral:lncRNA from 1 species